rnacentral:rRNA from 1 species
GACAGAGGAUGCAAGUGUUAUCCGGAAUCACUGGGCGUAAAGCGUCUGUAGGUGGUUCAAUAAGUCAACUGUUAAAUCUUGAGGCUCAACUUCAAAAUCGCAGUCGAAACUAUUGGACUCGAGUAUAGUAGGGGUAAAGGGAAUUUCCAGUGGAGCGGUGAAAUGCGUAGAGAUCGGAAAGAACACCAACGGCGAAAGCACUCUGCUGGGCCGACACUGACACUGAGAGACGAAAGCUAGGGGAGCGAAUGGG